GUUUUUGUGGUGUAGUGUUUAUCACAUUUGCUUGACGUGCAAAAGUUCUUGGUUCAAAGCCAGGCAGAAACA
rfam:Pelodiscus sinensis unplaced genomic scaffold scaffold5817, whole genome shotgun sequence.